GCUCUUGUGGCGCAAUUGGCUAGCGCAUUUGACUGUUAAUCAGGAGGUUGGUGGCUCAAGCCCACCCAGGAGUG
rnacentral:tRNA from 1 species